GUGCUCACUUCGGCAGCACAUAUACUAAACUUGGAAGGAUACAGAGAAGAUCAGCAUGACCCCUGUGCAAGGAUGCCACACGAAGUCGUUAAGUGUUCCAUAUUUAA